GGCCGUUUAGCUCAGUUGGUUAGAGCGUGGUGCUAAUAAUGCCAUGGUCGGGUGUUUGAUCCCCCUAAGGGCCA